AGGGGACUCGGCGAGUUGGUGCACGACUCGCCGAGUAGGGCCAUGGUCUUGGUCGCAGACGCGCGACUGGACUCGACGAGUCCAAUAAGGGACUCGGCGAGUCGACGCUGUUCAGCUGAACCCUAGCCGUUUCGAUUCUGAACCGUAUAUAAUGAUAUUAUGGCCGUCAUGUCGGGUCUUUUGGCCAAUUGAAGAUCCCCUGGGAGUGUGUGAGCAUCUGAAGCAAGAGAGAGGACUUGAGAAGGCUUGAAGAGAUUGUUAGACAAGGAGGAGCAAGGUGGUGAUCAAAGGAAUCGAGUACUGGAGGUUUGGAGACACAGGAAACACGUUUCCAGGGAACCUGCGGACUAGCGGAUUGUGUGCAAGUAGCUCGAAGAGGUUAUAGCCUGCGUACUACGAGGUACUAGUGAUGACCGUGGGAAGGCGCCGGCGUGACACGUACACACUGCCACUG